rnacentral:rRNA from 1 species
CCUACGGGAGGCAGCAGUGAGGAAUAUUGGUCAAUGGGCGGGAGCCUGAACCAGCCAAGCCGCGUGAGGGAAGAAGGUACAGCGUAUCGUAAACCUCUUUUGUCAGGGAACAAAGGCGGGGACUAGUCCCCGGAUGAGGGUACCUGAAGAAAAAGCAUCGGCUAACUCCGGGCCAGCAGCCGCGGUAAUACGGAGGUUGCGAGCGUUAUCCGGAUGUAUGGGGGUUAAAGGGUCAGCAGGGGGCCUGUUAAGUCAGUGGGAAAAGCCCGGGGCUAAACCCAGGCGAGCCGUUGAAACUGGCGGGCUGGAGUUGGAGAGAGGUACGUGGAAUGCGCGGUGUAGCGGUGAAAUGCUUAGAUAUCGCGCAGAACCCUGAUUGCGAAGGCAGCGUACCGGCUCCACACUGACGCUGAGGCACGAAAGCGUGGGUAUCGAACAGGAUUAGAUACCCCUGUAGUC